CCUGUCCGCCAGAAGGCGAAGAGCGCAGCCACGUACUGUGGGGAGAAGCCGCUUCACAUGAGAACAGGUCAUAUUCUCCACACUGGUGGCAUUUUAAGAUGAAGACAUCUCAGCAAAGCCAGCACAGAGGAUUAUUAUCGUUUCCUCAGCAGCGGGUUGCAUUGGCUCGACGACGACGGCAACCUCACAAAGCUGACUCUUGAAAUUUGAUUCAAAAAAGACGUGCAACAUUUACUUCCAGCUGAAAAGAGGGCAUUGGACCACUGCUGAAGGAACCAGCUAGCAGAGACGAGGCAGACGGGUUUUUGCCGGGCCAGGCCGGGAGAGGAGGAGGAGAGAGAGGAGGAGGUCCUCAGCCCAUUGCUUAGUGACUCCUGUACCAUUUCCGGCCCUCGGUCCAGUGGUUGCGGACCCGAUGACCCCAGGUUCCUCAGUGCUGAUGUGUUCAGAGCACCUUGGCCACUGAAAGGGAGUGUUGGAGGGGUCCRCGSUUAUUGAAUGUGAAGGCGGAUGACAUGGAGAAGAGAGGACAUGCAAURAAAAUGAAACAAGCAGACAUGAGGAGACAGGGAAAGCAAAGGUAAGAGGCAGAAGAUGGAAAGGGACAAAAAGAGAAGAUGAAAGACGCAGGGGAGAGAGGAAAACAGUGGAGAUGAGAGGAGGAAGAAGGAGGUGAGAGAAAAAGAAAAGAGACAACAGAGAGGAAAAAMAGAAGAGACAUGAUGAAAUAAAAACACUCAGACAAAAAAAAAAAAAACAAGACCAGAGGACAAAAGGACAUUAAAUAGACAGGAAGUAGGAGAACGUGCGGCGUGGAAAAACGAACUGAGAGAUCCGAGGAAACAAGGUGAUGGGAUAACAGGGAGACGAAGAAGAUGAGUUCAGGGAGGAGAACAUAAAAGAGGAGGAGGAAAAAAAAAAACCCCAGAAACAUGCCUGUGAAAAGUGAGAAGAGUGUAUACCAGACCAGAAUGGGGUGGCGGGUGGAGGGGGGGAGGAAGCAAUGGAUGGGGUGGGGGAGAGGAGAAGGAGAAGAAAAGAGAGAGGACAGGAGGAGGAUGAGAAACCAGUCGUUCUUUACCCAGGGGGAGGCACAGCGGGGGAUGGAGGGGGCGUACGGGGGGGAGAUGGGCUCCUCAUCCCUCUCUCCCCCAACUGAGCCUCCUUCUUCAAGGUCAGACACACACACUCACAGAGGCAAGCAGUUCUGGCAGACAUGGUACACACCAGUACACACACACACAUAGUGGAGCUCAAGUAGAAAAGACGCCUUCUGCCUGCCUUUUUCUCUCUGACUCUGUGUACCAAGCAGCCAAGUCUCAGUCAACCAUCUGGAGAUAAAAAACAUUCCUCCCAUACACACACACACGCACGCGCGCGCACACACACACACACACACACGCACGCACACAUAUGAAGUGUGUGUUUAUGAUAAUAGCCCAAAUGCCUCUAUUGAUUCUUUCUCUUCCUGCGUCUCUGUGCAUCUGAGUGUGUGUGUGUGUGUGUGUGUGUGUGUG